rnacentral:lncRNA from 1 species
UUGAGUUUUAUGUUUGUUUAAGUAUUUUAAAGUAUAGUUUUGCAUUAUUUGAGUCUAGUUUAGUGUUUUAAAUUUUGUUUUUAUGUUUUUAAGUCAGUUUUCAAGUGUUUAGCAAUCCCUCCUAAUCCCCGGCCUAGAACGAUCCCUACUUACAUACUUUACUACAAUUGAUAAAAAGAGGGUUUAAUUUGUGUGUUUAGUUAUUUUACACAUCACAAGCCUCAACCACUACUUCCUUUGAAUCCAGUACAUCCAACAUAAGAAGUUGCUUCAACCCGCAUUUAUGUCUGUUUGUCCACUUAUCAGUACAAAACCAGCAUUCACCUUUUUUCACGUUUCCUUUGAAUCUCUACCGGAGUGAGUUUCUUAAUGGCUAAAUUACCCGGGCAAGGUACAGUGUGAGAUGCAGGAGUAACCACAAGGGUGUGAGAUUUAGCUAGAAGAGAAGACUUAACCGGUGUAGAUUUAAACUCAGAAAGUUUUUCAUCCAAUUGCAUUGCAAUUGCAAUGGCAUCAUGCACAGUGACAGACCUCAAAAGCUUAACAUCAUAUUUUAAUUCCUUCUUCAAUCCUCCUAUGAAACAGCUUUUAAAAUUUCACAAGAGCGAUUAGCCAAACGGCGAAAUUCAAGUACAUACUCAUGGAAGGUACCGGUUUGUCGAAGUUUGAAAAGAUCCUCAGCACUAUCGUUAAACUCUAAGGGUUCGAACUCACAACACAGAGCCUGGGAGAAUUCAAGCCAGUUUGGUGUAGCAUGAAGGCAGUCCAUCCACUUGAACCAUUACAGCACUUCCCCUUCCAAAUAAAAAGAAGCGGUUAACACUCGCUGAGGAUCAGAGAUAUUGUAGAAACUGAAGAACUGUUCCGCCUUGUAAAUCCAAGCUAAGGGGUCAUCACCCUUAGUGAAUC